rnacentral:rRNA from 1 species
CCUACGGGUGGCAGCAGUGAGGAAUAUUGGUCAAUGGGCGGAAGCCUGAACCAGCCAAGUAGCGUGCAGGAUGACGGCCCUACGGGUUGUAAACUGCUUUUAUACGGGAAUAACGCGCCUUACGUGUAGGGCUUUGCAUGUACCGUAUGAAUAAGGAUCGGCUAACUCCGUGCCAGCAGCCGCGGUAAUACGGAGGAUCCGAGCGUUAUCCGGAUUUAUUGGGUUUAAAGGGAGCGUAGGCGGGUUGUUAAGUCAGUUGUGAAAGUUUGCGGCUCAACCGUAAAAUUGCAGUUGAUACUGGCAUCCUUGAGUACAGUAGAGGUAGGCGGAAUUCGUGGUGUAGCGGUGAAAUGCUUAGAUAUCACGAAGAACUCCGAUUGCGAAGGCAGCCUGCUGGACUGUAACUGACGCUGAUGCUCGAAAGUGUGGGUAUCAAACAGGAUUAGAUACCCCUGUAGUC